rnacentral:rRNA from 1 species
GUAGGGAAUAUUGCACAAUGGAGGAAACUCUGAUGCAGCGACGCCGCGUGAGUGAUGAAGGCCUUCGGGUCGUAAAGCUCUGUCGCAGGGGAAUAACACAAUGAAGGUACCCUGUAAGAAAGGAUCGGCUAACUUCGUGCCAGCAGCCGCGGUGAGACGAGGGAUCCUAGCGUUGUUCGGAAUCAUUGGGCGUAAAGCGGAUGUAGGUGGCUAUGUAAGUCAGAUGUGAAAGCCUGGGGCUCAACCCCAGAAGUGCAUUUGAUACUGCGUAGCUUGAGUGUCGGAGAGGUUACUAGAAUUGUUGGUGUAGUGGUGAAAUACGUAGAUAUCAACAGGAAUACCGGAGGCGAAGGCGGGUAACUGGCCGAACACUGACACUGAGAUCCGAAAGCGUGGGGAUCAAACAGGAUUAGAAACCCGGGUAGUCC